rnacentral:lncRNA from 1 species
UUCCAGAAGGACCCAGACACCCAGGGUCUUUGUGUCUCCCUGGCCCAGCAGAGAAAAGCUAAAUUGCAUUUGAAAGCCCUACAAGGGGGACGUUAAUUGAGGCAUAAAAGCGUGUGUCUUUGACCUUCCCAGGACCUGUGGUUCUCCCCUUAUCUGGGGCCUGUUCCUGCUGACACGGGUCGGGUCGCAGCCUCCUGCUUUGCACCGUCACCGAGGCUCCGGCUCCGGCUCCGGGUCUCCCUGCUCCACAGUGGGCCUGUGCGCUCAGCUCGCCAGUGUUUCUGCAUUUGUUGAUUGAGCCAAAGAGGACUGACUACGUGUGACAUAAGUUGGAUCGAGUCACUGUGGAAGCAGAGGUCCUAAUAUC